GAUGAAGAACGUAGCGAAAUGCGAUAAGUAGUGUGAAUUGCAGAAUUCAGUGAAUCAUCGAAUCUUUGAACGCACAUUGCGCCCUUUGGUAUUCCAAAGGGCAUGCCUGUUCGAGCGUCAUUUGUACCCUCAAGCUUUGCUUGGUGUUGGGCGUCUUGUCUCUAGCUUUGCUGGAGACUCGCCUUAAAGUAAUUGGCAGCCGGCCUACUGGUUUCGGAGCGCAGCACAAGUCGCACUCUCUAUCAGCAAAGGUCUAGCAUCCAUUAAGCCUUUUUUUCAACUUUUGACCUCGGAUCAGGUAGGGAUAUCCGCUGAACUUAAGCAUAUCAAUAAGCGGAGGA
rnacentral:misc_RNA from 1 species